GUAGUGGGUAGUUUAAUAAAAACAAUAGGUUGUGGUUCUAUAAAUAGGUUAACCUUUCACUAGA
rnacentral:tRNA from 1 species